rnacentral:rRNA from 1 species
UACGUAGGGUGCAAGCGUUGUCCGGAAUUAUUGGGCGUAAAGAGCUCGUAGGCGGUUCGUCGCGUCGGCUGUGAAAUCCCGAGGCUCAACCUCGGGUCUGCAGUCGAUACGAGCAAACUAGAGUGUUGCAGGGGAGACUGGAAUUCCUGGUGUAGCGGUGAAAUGCGCAGAUAUCAGGAGGAACACCGGUGGCGAAGGCGGGUCUCUGGGCCGUAACUGACGCUGGAGGAGCGAAAGCAUGGGGAGCGAACAGG